rnacentral:rRNA from 1 species
AACGAACGCUGGCGGCAUGCUUAACACAUGCAAGUCGAACGAGACCUUCGGGUCUAGUGGCGCACGGGUGCGUAACGCGUGGGAAUCUGCCCUUGGGUUCGGAAUAACAGUUAGAAAUGACUGCUAAUACCGGAUGAUGUCUUCGGACCAAAGAUUUAUCGCCCAAGGAUGAGCCCGCGUCGGAUUAGCUAGGUGGUAAGGUAAAAGCUUACCAAUGCGACGAUCCGAAGCUGGUAUGAGAGGAUGAUCAGCCACACUGGGACUGAGACACGGCCCAUACUCCUGCGUGAGGCAUCUGUGGGGAAUAUUGGACAAUGGGCGAAAGCCUGUUCCAGCAAUGCCGCGUGAGUGAUGAAAGCCUUAGGGUUUUAAAGCUCUUUUACCCGGGAUGAUAAUGACAGAACCGGGAGAAUAAGCCCCGCCUAACUCCGUGCCAGCCGCCGCCGUAACAC